AUACGUAGGAACCAAGCGUUGUCCGGAAUUACUGGGUGUAAAGGGUGCGCAGGCGGAUUUGUGCGUCAAGGGUUAAAUACCUCGGCUCAACCGAGGAAAUGCCUUUGAUACGGCAAGUCUUGAGUACGAGAGAGGAUGGUAGAAUUCCAGGUGUAGCGGUGAAAUGCGUAGAUAUCAGGAGGAAUACCCGUGGCGAAGGCGGCCAUCUGGCUCGUUACUGACGCUCAGGCACGAAAGCGUGGGGAGCGAACAGGAUUAGAAACCCCAGUAGUCC
rnacentral:rRNA from 1 species